rnacentral:rRNA from 1 species
GCCUAGCCGUAACACACAAUUAAACAACCAAUUGUUCGCCAAACAACUACGAGCUAUACUUGAAACUUAAAAGACUUGACGGUACUUCAUCACGGCCUAGAGGAGCCUGUCUAAUAACCGACAAUCCACGAUUAACCCAACCCCUUCUUGCCCAACAGUCUAUAUACCGCCGUCGCCAGCUUACCUUGUAAAAGAAAUAAAGUGAGCUAAAUAAUACAACACUAAAACGACAGGUCGAGGUGUAACUUAUGAAGGGGCCAAGAUGGGCUACAUUCUCUCCGAGAAUACGAAUAACACUAUGAAAUUAGUGCUUGAAGGCGGAUUUAGCAGUAAGCUAAGAAUAAAAUACUUAACUGAACAUAACGCAAUGAAGUGCGUACACACCGCCCGUCAUCCCUGCCAUCAUAAUAUUAAACCUUAAUAAACCAACUUAAGAGCUAAUUCAGGGCAAGUCGUAACAUGGUAAGUGUACUGGAAAGUGUACUUAGAAA